rfam:Octopus bimaculoides Scaffold30017_contig_48, whole genome shotgun sequence.
UAUUACGGCCAUAUCACGUUGAAAGCACCGGUUCUCGCCCGAUCACCAAAGUUAAGCAACAUCGAGCCUAGUUAGUACUUAGAUGGGUGACCGCUUGGGAAACCUAGGUGCUGUAAGCA